GGAGGGUGCGAGCGUUGUUCGGAAUCACUGGGCGUAAAGGGCGUGUAGGCGGUCCGCUAAGUCUGAUGUGAAAGCCCGGGGCUCACCCCCGGAAGGGCAUUGGAAACUGGCGGACUCGAGUCCCGGAGAGGAAGGUGGAAUUCCUGGUGUAGCGGUGAAAUGCGUAGAUAUCAGGAGGAAUACCGGUGGCGAAGGCGGCCUUCUGGACGGUGACUGACGCUGAGACGCGAAAGCGUGGGGAUCAAACAGGAUUAGAUACCCUGGUAGUCCACGCUGUAAACGAUGAGCACUAGGUGUCGUGGGUAUUGACCCCCGCGGUGCCGACGCUAACGCAUUAAGUGCUCCGCCUGGGGACUACGGCCGCAAGGUUA
rnacentral:rRNA from 1 species